UUAAAGCAUUAAACCCAGUAUGAGGUUUAUGCUAUUGCCAAAGUCUUAAAAAAUACAAUUCUUCACUAAUAAUUUCUCUUUCUUUUACAGUGAAAUGGACUUCCUCAAAAAUGAACACUUUGCCAGCCCUGUAGUUUGUGACUCUGUUCAGCCUUCUUUGGAUCAGUCUCCCCACAAAGACUCUGAAGACAGUGGAAAGAAAUCAGUUAUAAAUAGUUUCAACAAGGGAGAAAACAAGGAUGUCCAUCUUUCAAAAUCAGAUGAAGUUGAUUCCACUGUUCCUAAAGAGAAUUUUCCACAUUCUUUCCUCAGGAGAGAAAGAGAUGGAAUACCAUCUUCUUCUCCAUCAAGUAAAAAUAGAGUCCAUUUUGAUAAACCCAAUAGGCAUUGUUGUUUGUUCUUUCCAUGCAUCACCUGUGAUUACCCCCUGUGCUGACCAAUCAGCUGUUGGUGAAGGGGGUGAAUGAAACUCUGGUAGCUCAGAGGGUUGUUCCUGCUCUCAUAACUCUCUCCAGUGACCCUGAAAUCUGACUCUUCGAGGCAUGAGUGAAGCAUUAGUUGAUAAGCGGGUUGCUCCGGCCCUUGUUAACUUGUCCAGUGAUCCUGAAUUGUGAGUUCCACAGACUACAACCUUAAGUUAUCCUGUCUGUCUUUUUUCUUGGUCUGCUUUUUUUUUUUAAUUUAAUUUGUCAUUGCUAGCGACUAAUACAGUAUAUUUACCUUGUACUUACCUUGAUAUAUACUUUAAUAAUAACCAGUUUUUCGUCUCAAAGAAAAUGUCAAGUUUUUUUCUUCUUUAAUUCUAACACCUCUGUCAGGAUUGCUACAAUUCCAGCCUUUGGCACGAUUAUGAAGACUGUUAUUCAAAGAGAGGUAGGAAAUGAGUGGAAUUUAUUUAAUCUGUAUGUACUGCUGAGGUGAUGAAAGCACCUGACCAUACAUGUACCCUGUGGUUGGGGGCAGGGAGGAUAUACAUACAUUUUAUUUCUUAGUUAAUUAUGGUCCAGAGAGGAUCUCAGUAUUUGAAAAUAUGAUAGCCUACCAAAAGUAUCUUUUCACAUGCUAAGGCAGUCUCUCAAUUAGUAUAAGCCAGGUCUCAGAUGUUCUAUUCUGAGCUGGUCUGGAUAUUGCAGUAUUGAAUAGUCCUUCACAGCACAUCUAGUUUCACAGACUUCUCUUAUUCACUAGACUUCUGGAUAGUCUGCAUAAAUUCCCAAUUGUUAGUACGUGCAGAUUUGAAGGAAACAGUUUUCCUCAGUUUCAGGAAUGGAGGCUAGAGGUACCUAUGUUCUUGUAACUAUCAUUCAUAUCAAACUGCAAGUCAUAUCAUAGACUAGUGUCAUCUUUUUGCAGUCUACUUCACUGGGACAACCUUCUGUCAUGCCUGCUUCAGGAGAUUACCAAAGUCUUCCUCCCUCAAAGUAUAUUUAGAUUCAGAAUCUUGUGUGAUCUAAAGUUGUUUGGUUCUGUCUGCACGAUUAACUAUUAGACACUUAUAAAAAUUAGUAUCUGAAUGUUAUUCUCUAUUAUUAGAUUGGACAUGUCCUUGCACAAUAAAAAAUGCUGUACAUUAGAAAAUCAAUUAUUCGUGGACAUAUUAGCCACUUAAAUGGAAAACAAGAUUUUCCAUCUCAUAGACAUUUAAUAAAAAUAUAUAUAUAUAUAGACUGUUUUGUAAAAUUUUUUUCAUAGAGAUUUUUUUAUAACAAAAAACUAAACUUAUGUUAGCUGUGGGAAAAAGUGUUUUCUGUUUUUUCACUUACAUAUAUAUAUAUUUCACUGGUGGAGCAAAAUUAAAAGAUAUAUCAUUCUGCAAAGCUUGCAGUCUUGGCAGAAUUUCAACAUGUUCUUAAUCCCAAAAUAAAAACUUCUUUUAGGGAAAUAUGAGUAAUAUAUAAGUCACUAAUGACUCAUUGCUUUCAGAAGGUGAAUAAGUGGGUAACUUACACCGUGAUCUGUUUGAAGAAUUCUAACUUAGACACAAAAUCAUCAUACAUUUAUCUUUUCCCCUAAAUAUUGUGGGAUCUUUUCUACAGUUUGUCAGGGAAUAUUUCUGUUUAAAAAAAAAAAAAAGAGUUGGUAAACAUAAAAAUGUAGGAUCUUUUCUGAGCUGAAAGAUUAAAGAAGUACUUAUUUAAUUUCAAACUUCAACUCAUGUUGAUAUAAGUCAUUUGAAUCCAGUGAUGCAAACCAUGUUUAGUGUGUAUCUUUCUCUCAAUUUGACUGUUUAAUAUUCAAUUUUAAGUUGCUGGAAAGAGUGAAAAUGCAGUUGGCUUCUUUCCUGGAAGACCCUCAAUAUCAAGACAAAUAUUCUGUGAAUAUAGAGAUCAUAAAAACAUUUGGUAGAAUUGGGCCUAAUGCAGAACCAAGGUUCCGAGAUGAGUGUAAGUUGCAUUUUUU